UGGGGAAUAUUGGACAAUGGGCGAAAGCCUGAUCCAGCCAUGCCGCGUGUGUGAAGAAGGUCUUAGGAUCGUAAAGCACUUUAAGUUGGGAGGAAGGGCAGUAAAUUAAUACUUUGCUGUUUUGACGUUACCGACAGAAUAAGCACCGGCUAACUCUGUGCCAGCAGCCGCGGUAAUACAGAGGGUGCAAGCGUUAAUCGGAAUUACUGGGCGUAAAGCGCGCGUAGGUGGUUCGUUAAGUUGGAUGUGAAAUCCCCGGGCUCAACCUGGGAACUGCAUUCAAAACUGUCGAGCUAGAGUAUGGUAGAGGGUGGUGGAAUUUCCUGCGUAGCGGUGAAAUGCGUAGAUAUAGGAAGGAACACCAGUGGCGAAGGCGACCACCUGGACUGAUACUGACACUGAGGUGCGAAAGCGUGGGGAGCAAACAGGAUUAGAUACCCAGGUAGUCCCUGAGCGGGCUGGCAAGGCGCAU
rnacentral:rRNA from 1 species